GUGCUCACUUUGGCAGCACAUACAUUAAAAUUAGAAUCAUAGAGAGAUUAGCAUGAUCCCUGCACAGGGACGAUGUGACAAUUCGUGAAACCUUCCAUAUUUUU
ensembl:snRNA U6 U6 spliceosomal RNA